GCCCGGUUAGCUCAAUGGUAGAGCUACGCCGUCGUAACGCGAGGACGAGGGUUCGAUUCCCUCACCGGGCUCCA
rnacentral:tRNA from 1 species